UCCCUGGUGGCUCAGAUGGUAAAGUGUCUGCCUACAAUGUGGGAGACCCAGGUUCGAUCCCUGGGUCGGGAA
rnacentral:tRNA from 1 species